AUUGAAAGCUAGAAUGAAGGGUUUAACGAAGAAAUAGCUGUCUUUAUUUUAUAAGUAGAAUUUAAUUUUUAAGUUAAAAAGCUUAAAUUUUUUUGAAAGACGAGAAGACCCUAUAGAUUUUUAUAAAUUUAUUUUUUAGUAUUUUUAGAUUAAUUAUUUUUAUUUAAUUAUAUUUAUUUAGUUGGGGUGAUUUAAAGAUUAAUAAAACUCUUUAUUAUUUUCAUUAAAGAUUAUUAUAUUUUUGAUCCUUUAUUAUGGAUAAAAAGAAUAAAUUACCUUAGGGAUAACAGCGUAAUAUUUUUGGAGAGUUCUUAUCGAUAAAAAUGAUUGCGACCUCGAUGUUGGAUUAAGAGUAAAUUUUGGUGCAAAAGUUAAAAUUUUAGGUCUGUUCGACCUUUAGAUUCUUACAUGAUCUGAGU
rnacentral:rRNA from 1 species